rnacentral:rRNA from 1 species
UACGUAGGGUGCAAGCGUUGUCCGGAAUUAUUGGGCGUAAAGAGCUCGUAGGCGGUUUGUCGCGUCUGCUGUGAAAACUCGGGGCUUAACUCCGGGCCUGCAGUGGGUACGGGCAGACUAGAGUGCGGUAGGGGAGGCUGGAAUUCCUGGUGUAGCGGUGAAAUACGUAGAGAUUGGGAAGAACACCAGUGGCGAAGGCGGCUAUCUGGACGGUUUCUGACGCUAAGACGCGAAAGCGUGGGGAGCAAACAGG